rnacentral:rRNA from 1 species
UGGGGAAUAUUGGACAAUGGGGGAAACCCUGAUCCAGCCAUGCCGCGUGAGUGAUGAAGGCCUUCGGGUUGUAAAGCUCUUUUGUCAGGGACGAUAAUGACGGUACCUGAAGAAUAAGCCCCGGCUAACUUCGUGCCAGCAGCCGCGGUAAUACGAAGGGGGCUAGCGUUGUUCGGAUUUACUGGGCGUAAAGGGCGCGUAGGCGGAUUGGUAAGUCAGAAGUGAAAUCCCUGGGCUCAACCCGGGAAUU